rnacentral:lncRNA from 1 species
CAUGGACUGGAUGCGCUCAGUGACCCCUCCCCCUGCCUAUUUAUUCAGUGUGUUCCACGACUGAGUUCAGAAAAGCUUUUCUCCCUUGUUCUCGAGCUGUAGUCCCAGUCCACUACAAAGGUGUUGGAGUCCUGGUAUUCUUGCUGGUGUGCAUCCUCUCUUUCAGCCACCAAGUUUGUUUUACUCUAGAGCUGAAUGCCAACCUCUUGCCUGUGGUGACCAAACCCAACCGUUUCUCACCUCCCCGUGGAUAAGGUUUCCCACAAGUAUUCUUGGCCGUGUACUACUUGUUCCAUGCUCGGCAAAGGUCAGUGAAGCUCACCAUUUACUACUUGUACUCUACCACUGUCUGUUGCUGGGAACUAGGUGUAAAGUUCGCUCAAAAAAUAGGCUGUUGGAUUUUUGGAUCGGAGACUUAGUGCAGAAGGCUGAAACUAGGUUCUAGUAUGUUGAGCUCCACUUUGGUGCUUCCUAAAAAAAUUGUUCUGAAUGUUUUCAACCUAGGGGUGCUAUACCAAAGUAGUAGAGCUAUAUCUAAGGAAUAACUUUGGUAAUGUGAGCUUGGUCUUUUGUUGUGUAAAAGUUGGAGAAAAGGUUGGCUAAAGUUGGACUGUUAGGCUGGACACAACUGAAUUUUUUUAUUCAGUUCUGUGAACUGAAUUACAGCAGUAUGCCUAGUUUAGAAUUCAUUUGUGACUGAUUCAUGGGGUUUUAGAUUAAAGGUUCCAUAGAAAAGUUGUAGACCAUAGUAAAGUGAACAAGUUUGCUAAAGUGAGAUGGACCUGGUUCCACAUAAAUUUGGGAGUAAAAGUGGCCAAAAGAUGGACUGUCAGGUGUUGGGAUUCAGACUUAGAAUAAUAUUUAAGUCUGAAUAUGUGUGUUUUUACCCAACUUUGGGGCCUUGUGGUAAUAAAUCCAAAGGGAUUUGGGUUAAGAGUCUGUAGCAAAAUGAGAGACCAGAUAUAGAUGAACAAGUUUUGUGCAAAGAGUGGGCUUGGUACUGUAUGGAAUUUAGAGAAUAGCCUGCUGCAAAACCCUCUAUCUGACUCAGUAUUGUGCUGUUUCAGAAAUUAGAAACUGAAUUUUCAGUGUUUUGCUUUACUUUGGAUUGCCAUAACUCUUGCUCUAAAUAUUUUCAACCUGUGAUUUCUAUACCAAGUUGGUAGAGCUAUGUCUAGAGAAUAACUUUGAGUAAAUGAGUUGGGUUUGUAGUUGAGGGAAUUUGUGAGUUACAAAGCACUGAACAGAGGGAGAGGAAUGGAGCACUAGAAGAUGAAUUCAGAGAAACGAAAACAGGUUCAGUGAAUUGUAGCUGAUUCUUGGACACUAUAACUUGUAGUACAUGCAGUGUGGAUCCUUGCUUAAUGCAUAAAUGAAGUACUUGGUUGGUUAUGGAGGCAAGCUUUUCUAGUUUGGUUGGUAAAUUGAGCUGUGAUAUUAGAGUAUUUAGCUCUCUUAAGGUUUUGUUAGCUUUUGUGUACACCUUUAGAGAGGUGUAAGUCUUGCGAUGCUUCUUAGUAUUUUCUUUUCAAGUUGCAUAAGCAUAAACAUCCAUGAUCAUGUUAUUUCAUAUAGAACUCCUACUAGAAGGAGUGAAUAUUCAAGCUGAAGUGGUGACUGAAGAGGAAUCUACUCCAGUGGCUGCUGAUCAAGUGGAGGAGCCAUCUAACUGAGGUUUAAUAGAGGGAUAGAGUACCUCUUCACUGCAAUAAGGCAAGCCCCGGUGCAUUUACCCCUUUUCUUGUAUUUUUAAAAGACUUUUAUACACUUUAAGUCUAGUGAAAUGUGCAUUAAGUUAUAGGAGUUGCUUGAAAACUAUUUGAUGCAUUGACUACCUUGAUAUCCAUUCCUGUUAUAGAUACUUCUUUGGAAGUAUCAAAUAUUGUUUACAAAAAUGCUUAGCCAUGCUUAGAUCUUGUGGAUAGAAGUUGUCUUUUGCAAUAAUGCCUAGCUCAGGGGUUGUCCUGAGGAAGGAUCGCUUCUACCUGCAAGAAUAUUUUCAUUGGGAGCAUGGUGGGAUCUUACUGCAAAGUUCCCUGUAAUGCUCUUCUCAUCCUAAGGAACACAAAACAAUCCUAAGGAUGGAAGUACUUAAAUCGAGACUUGGGCUAGGAACAGGUGAUGCUCCACCCAGGUCAAUUAAGGAUUGGAUGCGUAUGUAGGCCUGUAUGAUCAAGGACUAUCUUAACUGGCCACAUGCCUUGGAUAUGGGACAGGGUAAGCUUGAACCCGGCUAUUCCAUACGUGAAAAGACAACCGCGCACUGGGCGUGGGAGAUGGUGGGAGUAGCGUGUACCCUCCUGGCUGGAGGCUGGAUGGAGGAGUACUGUGCUCCCGGGUAGCGCGGACCGGUUCACGUUGUGGAGGAUCUGUGGGAAUGGUUGACAUAUGCAAGGGUUAAGUGCUACAUAUGUCGUGUGGUUAGAGAUCCUCAGCUGAGCAAAUCGAUUCGGAUCGCCGUUAUAUCCCCGGAGAGUGGAGACUUGAUCGCUGCCCUGCAACCUAAGUCAGGAUGUGAACAUUAUGAAUAAAAAUGAUGUUGUAUUGAUGAGAUGGUGAAAUUAGACUAGAUGCAACCAGAGUCUAUUAAUAUUUAAUCUGGCGUUAAAAUGUUGAAAGUAAGGACUCACUUUAGUAAGCUAUUUCUGCAAAAGUAUCUAAGUUGAUUCUUGCUAAAGCCUUUUCCUUGAUUCCUAUUUAACCAGCAUAUCAUUGAGAGUCAUUUUUCCUUAGUCGGGUAAGACUUGCGAAAGUACACUCCGUACUCAGGGUUUUCGAACCCAUGUUGUUGUAGGUGAUGAGGAGUACUCUAGGUGUUCCUGAGGCUGGAGGGCGUUUCCAGUUCUGGAGGAAGAUUAGUUAGGCUUAUGUAUAAGCUUUGGAGGGUUUCUACCUUCCUGCUUUUGUAAUAAGGUAUGCACUUUGAGUAUAUCAGGACUUGUAAUAAAUAUUACUCUUUCGAAACAUGUAAAACUUGAGUUUUGAAAAGGUAAAGAAUGUUUAUAAAGUCUUCCGCUCUUAUCUCCGAAGUAUGUAUGUAUCGAAUGUGAUUACUGUAAUAUGCAUGUAUGGUGGGAGAUCCUUGGGAUGAUGAAUUUAAGUUGUUGAACUCGUGAUAGCCUUGUUAAGUUACCUGGUACACGUGCAUAGCCAUCUGAGGCCAUCAAGGCAAGGAUUUGUGCAUGUGGGCCCGAUAACUUGGGAGGGCUGCCACAGAUUGGUAUCGGAGCGAUCCCCCAUUAGCAUGGAUAUUAAAGUAAUCCUUUGAUAUACUUCAAAAGGAUUUUGAGUCCAAACUAUUUUAGAAAAAUUUAAGAAUAUGAUCAAAUCCUGAUAGUCGAAGUGCAAAUAGCAUAUAGUUAAGUUAAGAACUAUAAGGUGGAUUAGUUUAGGAUGCUAACCACUAACCCACAACUGUAAUGGAAUUUUCUGCAGGUACACUAACUAAACUCUAGGAAAUUACGACUAGUUAACUCCGGAGUGAGUAGGUAUGCCACCGCCAUAGAACGUGAUAGCCACUAUAUAUUGGCAAGAGUUGCAAGGACGAAUAGGACGAGCAUGCAUCAUGACAUACAAUUUUAAGUUAAACCCUCUAUGUAGUAGCUUAGUACAAGUUUCAUCCAUCCUACUCAUGCUAUCUAUCUUUGCUUUUCUAUACUACCUUUUCCUAUUCGUGAAGCCUUGAGACUCAGUUCAUUUGGUGGACCUGUAGUUUAUAAGGUACAGUUGCCAAAGAAUUUUUCAACAGUGCACAACAUGUUCUACGUGUCCCAGUUAAAGAAAUGUCUUCGAGUCCCCGAGCAUGUUAUUGAGAUUUCAGAUGUUAACCUUGGACCAGAUUUAACCUACUUGGAAUAUCCCAUAAAGGUGUUGGAUCUAAAGGAUCGGGUCACUCGAAGAAAAGCUAUCAAGUUUUACUAGAUAAAGUGGAACCAACACCCGGAAGAUAAACCAUAUGGGAAUUGGAGGAGUAUUUAGAAAAACAUUUUCAUGAGUUCUUAGUUUCUUCUAAGCCCUAGGUUUUAUGUAGUUGUUUUUUAUGUGAACCAACAAGGGUACACCCCCUGUCUUGUAGGAGUAAUGGGGAAAGAAACUGGUGACGUGUUUCCUUUUCCAUUACCUAACCUAGAGUUUUAAAUCUCGGGACGAGAUUUCUUUUUAGAGGAGAAGGCUGUAACACCCCUGGUGUUACGAUAACUAAAAUGCUGACAUGUCAUCAUAAGAACUUGCAUUAUCUUGUUUGAUAUACCUAGAAUGCAUUCACUAGGUUAAACUUUUUCAAAAGUGUGAUGUUGUGUGUGGGUUUAGAGUUUAGUUUAAUGACUUGGCUUAAGCUAGACAAGAGUAGGUCAUCUCUUGAGCAAGUAGCAAAUUGGAGUCUUCGAGUGCUAAAGGCAAGACUUAGAAUCGAGAGAAACUAUGAUUUCGGAGGUAUGUUAAGUGGAAGAAUUAAUUGAUGAACUGGAUUGACCUUAAAAAAAACUUAAGUGAGAUUUGGAAACCUUGCUUGGAAUUGUGGAUAAACAAAACAACUCCUAAACCAAGGACACUUUGGACAUGAGCUUCAUAUACUAGAGUUGGAUUUGAGAUUAAGGAGUCACUCAUCUUUAGGAGUAUGGAUUGAGUUGGUAAAUCACUAGAUGAGAAGCAGUCACAUUUGAAACCCUAAUUUUUUUCCCAAAAGUGGAAUUCAAAAUCUGGAGAGAAUUGGGCAAAAGUAAAAGUACCAAAGUUGUAGAACUUGGAAAAGUGAAUAACUUUCUUAUUUGGAUAUUCCCAAGUUGUGUGGAAGAUUUUGGAGUUAAGUACAAAAAUUCAGUUUUGGGUUCAUUUUGGAAUUGCUGAAAAUAAUAUAAAUUAUUCAAAUUUGAACCCUUGUAACUUCUGAUCUAAAACCAUUUAGAAGAUGGUCAUUAUAACAAAGUUAUAGGGCCACAUGAGGAGUAUAAGUUCGGUUGAGUCACCUAGCCCUAAAGCUAUUUGGAACAUGGAGAAAAACUGGUUCAAAGUAGAGCUAACAGAGUUUCUGGAUUUCAGACUUAGUAGAGUUCAGAGGCUGAAUUUCAGUAUUUGGAUCCAAAUUUGGGCCUUGAUAUUUUGGAAUCCAGGAGGUUUUGGUUAAUGAACACUAUAUCAACCUUGUAGAUCAAUGAUAGGAGGACAUUUCUUAUUAAGUGAUAUAGCCCCAAAACUAUAUGCUACUGGUAGAAAAGAUAGUCCAAAGAUUGAUUGACAGAUUUCUGAAUUUUCAGACUGAAAACAGUAACUGGAACUGAAUUCAGAGUUUGAUAGCAGUUUUGGGAGCUUGUUUGUGACUAAUCCCUAAGGAUUUAGACUGAGGGGUCCAUAAAGGGAUUGAAUAACACAUGUUGGUGAACAACUUUAUUUAAGUGUAUUUGACAUGAUCCUAUAUAAAAUGUGGAGAAAAACUUCCCCAAAGAUGGAUUAUCAUAUUGCUGUUGACUUAGUUUUUUCAGAGCUGAAAAUCUGAACAUCAGUGAAUGGUACCAAGUUUAGAGCUCUAUUGUGCAAAAUCCUGUUAGUUUUGGACAAAGAACUUUAUAGAAAAAUGGAAGACCAGAUCUAGGAGAACAAACUUAUUUAAGCAAUGCUGGGUUGGUGCUACACAAAUUUGGGAGAGAAGUUAGUUCCAAAAUGGACUGCCAGGUUGCUUUGACUGAAAUUUUGUUCAGUUCACUGAAACUAAAAUUCAGUAAAAGGUACUGAGUUUGGGGCUCAUUUGUGGCUAAUCCAUUUGGUUUUGGGCUAAAUUUUAUAUAUAAAAUUUGAAGAUCACAGUAAGGUGAACAAGUUUAUGCAAAUAAUUGGUCUUGUUACUGUGUGUAAUUUGGAGAUAAUAGUGUUACAAAACUCCCUGUCAGAUUGGGUGCAGAGCUGUUUCAGACCUCUGAAACUGAAUUUUCAGUGUUUUUACUAAAUUUUGGAUCACCACAACCCUUGUUCUAUAUGAUUUCAGCCAUGAGUUUAUAUUCAAAAUAGGUAGAGAUAUCCAUGGAGAAUAACUUUUGUGAAGGGAUAGUGGUCUGUUACUAAAAGAAAUUGGGUGAUCAAUGCAGCUAAACAAUGAAAUGUGCAAGGGGGCAGUGUUGGCUGAUUCAGUAAAUUCAGAGGACUGAAACUGUGUUUUAGUGAUGUGUGGCCAACUUCAGAGCCACAUAACUUGUGAUCUACAUAUUUUGGGUCGUGGAUUUUUAUAGUAAACCUGAAGAGCCAUGGUUGGGGAACAAAUCUGUUCAGGAAUGCUUGAGCUAUCCUUGUUUGGAAUAGAGAGAAAAAGGUGUUCGAACUAUGUCUAUCAGGCAUGGGAAUGCAAACCUGAAUAAGUCACUGUGGAUUUGGUUCAGUAUUUUUCUCCUGACUUUGGAGCUGUUUAGUAUCUGAUCUAAGGAUUAUAAGGCUUAAGUCUGUAUGGAAGAUUGAUAGUGGGUUAGUUGGUCAACAAGGUUCCUUAAGGUCGGUUCCCCUGUUGUUGCUUGGAGCUGGGAAAAAUAAAAAGGUGAAGCUGUGAACUCAGUCAAACAGCAGCAGUUCAGUGUACUCCAAAAAUAUCUGAAGAUCUUUUUAUCCCUGCUGGCUGCACUAGCGUGUAGAAAUGAAGAUAAGGUUGUAGUGAAUAGUUGAAGGUCCUAUAGGUCUCACUCCCCACUAAAAUAUCUAAUUUGGACUGCAUGGGGGGCAGUGGGCAGUAGAAAUCUUAUCUAUUUUGUCUACUACCUACAGAUUUGGACAAAGUGAUAUUUAUGUGUGGGAGCUGAGCCAACGAGGUGUAGUGCUUGUAUGCCACGUUUUUGAACCUUUGGUGUGCUAGCACUCUAGGAAUCCUCCUUCAUCAAGCGUGGAUGAGCUCCACUGCACCUGCCCCUAUAUUUAGUACCUUGGGCUGCCGUAUUGAGUGAAGAUUUCUUCCUUGCCCUCAAAUUCUAGCCAAAGUUCACUACUUGAGUGUGCAGUCUAAGUACUGCUGGUAUAACCCCCUCCGUAGCCCAGGUUUGCCUCCUUCUCCCCAUGGACUGGAUGCGCUCAGUGACCCCUCCCCCUGCCUAUUUAUUCAGUGUGUUCCACGACUGAGUUCAGAAAAGCUUUUCUCCCUUGUUCUCGAGCUGUAGUCCCAGUCCACUACAAAGGUGUUGGAGUCCUGGUAUUCUUGCUGGUGUGCACCCUCUCUUUCAGCCACCAAGUUUGUUUUACUCUAGAGCUGAAUGCCAACCUCUUGCCUGUGGUGACCAAACCCAACCGUUUUUCACCUCCCCGUGGAUAAGGUUUCCCACAAGUAUUCUUGGCCGUCUACUACUUGUUCCAUGCUCGGCAAAGGUCAGUGAAGCUCACCAUUUACUACUUGUACUCUACCACUGUCUGUUGCUGGGAACUAGGUGUAAAGUUCGCUCAAAAAAUAGGCUGUUGGAUUUUUGGAUCGCAGACUUAGUGCAGAAGGCUGAAACUAGGUUCUAGUAUGUUGAGCUCCACUUUGGUGCUUCCUAAAAAAAUUGUUCUAAAUGUUUUCAACCUAGGGGUGCUAUACCAAAGUAGUAGAGCUAUAUCUAAGGAAUAACUUUGGUAAUGUGAGCUUGGUCUUUUGCUGUGUAAAAGUUGGAGAAAAGGUUGGCUAAAGUUGGACUGUUAGGCUGGACACAACUGAAUUUUUUUAUUCAGUUCUGUGAACUGAAUUGCAGCAGUAUGCCUAGUUUGGAAUUCAUUUGUGACUGAUUCAUGGGGUUUUAGAUUAAAGGUUCCAUAGAACAGUUGUAGACCAUAGUAAAGUGAACAAGUUUGCUAAAGUGAGAUGGACCUGGUUCCACAUAAAUUUGGGAGUAAAAGUGGCCAAAAGAUGGACUGUCAGGUGUUGGGAUUCAGACUUAGAAUAAUAUUUAAGUCUGAAUAUGUGUGUUUUUACCCAACUUUGGGGCCUUGUGGUAAUAAAUCCAAAGGGAUUUGGGUUAAGAGUCUGUAGCAAAAUGAGGGACCAGAUAUAGAUGAACAAGUUUUGUGCAAAGAGUGGGCUUGGUACUGUAUGGAAUUUAGAGAAUAGCCUGCUGCAAAACCCUCUAUCCGACUCAGUAUUGUGCUGUUUCAGAAAUUAGAAACUGAAUUUUCAGUGUUUUGCUUUACUUUGGAUUGCCAUAACUCUUGCUCUAAAUAUUUUCAACCUAUGAUUUCUAUACCAAGUUGGUAGAUCUAUGUCUAGAGAAUAACUUUGAGUAAAUGAGUUGGGUUUGUAGUUGAGGGAAUUUGUGAGUUACAAAGCACUGAACAGAGGGAGAGGAAUGGAGCACUAGAAGAUGAAUUCAGAGAAACGAAAACAGGUUCAGUGAAUCGUAGCGGAUUCUUGGACACUAUAACUUGUAGUACAUGCAGUGUGGAUCCUUGCUUAAUGCAUAAAUGAAGUACUUGGUUGGUUAUGGAGGCAAGCUUUUCUAGUUUGGUUGGUAAAUUGAGCUGUGAUAUUAGAGUAUUUAGCUCUCUUAAGGUUUUGUUAGCUUUUGUGUACACCUUUAGAGAGGUGUAAGUCUUGCGAUGCUUCUUAGUAUUUUCUUUUCAAGUUGCAUAAGCAUAAACAUCCAUGAUCAUGUUAUUUCAUAUAGAACUCCUACCAGAAGGAGUGAAUAUUCAAGCUGAAGUGGUGACUGAAGAGGAAUCUACUCCAGUGGCUGCUGAUCAAGUGGAGGAGCCAUCUAACUGAGGUUUAAUAGAGGGAUAGAGUACCUCUUCACUGCAAUAAGGCAAGCCCCGGUGCAUUUACCCCUUUCCUUGUAUUUUUAAAAGACUUUUAUACACUUUAAGUCUAGUGAAAUGUGCAUUAAGUUAUAGGAGUUGCUUGAAAACUAUUUGAUGCAUUGACUACCUUGAUAUCCAUUCCUGUUAUAGAUACUUCUUUGGAAGUGUUGGACACCAAAAUGAGCGGACGGUCCGGCCCUUAGGCCCGGACGGUCCGCGUGUCCCGAGAUUAGAUUACCUCGGAUGUUUAUCCUUAUCUCGUGCGUGGUUAUCCAUCUAAUCACGUGGGAGUUUGUUGGCUAUCUCUUAGGAAAAGGUCCAGACCUCCUCCCCUAUAAAUAUAAAGGGGUACGGCCGAUUGAGAACCCCUGAACACAUUCCAAUCGAACCAAUUACCUUAUUUACUUUUCCUGCCCUAGGAGUAGAUGUAGCAUAGUUCUAGUUGUAGCCUUCCGCAUAUCCACCUCCACCCCUAGUCGACUCUACGUCGUCUAGAUCCGUCUUGGGUGGCCUGCCGAUCCCAAGACGACCCUAGGAUCUCACCCCUCCCGAGGGGCAAGAUCUAGUUGUCCAUCCAAGACCUCUUCCUCGAUUUGAACUCUUAAUUCCUAGGCGACUCCACGUCGUCUGGGGACGCCCCGGGUGACCUAUCGACCCGGAGCACCUUAAGAUCUUUUCCCCCCAGGGGACGAGAUCUAGAUUCCAGCAAGGAGGAGGAAGACGACCCUGUCGCCCGGUCGCGAACCGUCCGGCCCAGAGCUGCGGACCGUCCGGUGUGACGCAGGGAAGACACCGCUCCUGCGCCCUGGUCGCGGACCGUCCGGCCCAAGGCCGUGGACCGUUCGCGCCGUCGCAGAGGGCACUACUAGGCGAUCCUGCGACCUAUCGCAGGCCGCUACUACUGUUCAUCUUGCGGAGCCGAACCCAAGGUGCCAAGUACCGUCAAGCGGUUCAUUAUUGUGUUUGGUGACCAAAAAGGCACCAACAUACUUUUGGCGACUCCGCCGGGGACGAGGUUGAAGAUCUACAAAAUCAGGCUUAUAUGGCCGAUUCUAAAGAUCUCAACAGGGCUUCUCCAAACAGCAGCACAAGGCUCACUAAUUUAUCGGCCGCUGAGCAUAAAAGAUUAAAAGAUGACAUGAAGAAAAUAGACGAGGAGGUCCAACGACAAAAAGAUCAGGUGCUCAAGGUGGCGAAUAAAUGGUUCCUCUCGCACUUCAGGGUGGAUUGCCACCAGAAGACCAUCCAAGAAAGGGAAAUAGACGCCAAUUACAUGUCAUCCGUGCUGCAACAGCUCCCCACAAUAGGUGAUGCCAGGUCAGUCGAUGAUAUUCCAUCUAUUAGAAUUUCUUUUGAUAAUCGGAUUAAAAGUAUCACAGAGGAUAUAGAAAGGAUGGCGCAUGCAUUAGGAAAAACUCACAUGCCUAGUUUUUUAUCACAUAAAUUAGGCGCCAAAACAAUUGCGCCAAACACAUCGGCAACAAAUGGGUUUCCCCAGCCAUACUCUGGUAUGCCGAUGGACUCAUAUCCAGGACGAAUGUCACCACCAUCUUCGCUAAAUGGUGAGUCAACUCUGAGCACGGCCGGACCGUCCGCACACAAUAGCGGACCGUCCGGCCCUUCCGUCGGACCGUCCGGCACCCUACGCCGGACAGUCCGGAGUUACACAGAGCCCACCACAAGGGUCACAGGUGUUGCCUGACGUGACCGGACAGUCCGAGGAUAGUACCGGACCGUCCGAUCCACCCGCAGACCGUCCGAAUGUGCAGGUCGGACCGUCCGGAGCACCAGAAGUCACAUGUGAUCCGCCUAGUGCGGAAGGCCGACAUAAAUAUAAUCGGCCACCCAAGCCCCAAGAACUAAAAAAGUCACAUGUCCCUGAGCUUGUUUGGCC